UAUUUAAGGGGAACGUAUGGAUGA
rnacentral:piRNA from 1 species